rnacentral:rRNA from 1 species
UACGAAGGGGGCGAGCGUUGUUCGGAUUUACUGGGCGUAAAGGGCGCAGGCGGCCAAGUGUGUGAGGCGUGAAAGCCUGGAGCUUAACUCCAGAAUUGCACCUCAAACUACAUGGCUAGAGCAUUGGGAGAGGGUAGCGGAAUUCACGGUGUAGCAGUGAAAUGCGUAGAUAUCGUGAGGAACACCAGAGGCGAAGGCGGCUACCUGGACAAUUGCUGACGCUCGAGGCACGAAAGCGUGGGGAGCAAAAGGG